rnacentral:rRNA from 1 species
GGGGAAUAUUGGACAAUGGGGGCAACCCUGAUCCAGCAAUGCCGCGUGUGUGAAGAAGGUCUUCGGAUUGUAAAGCACUUUCGGCGGGGACGAUGAUGACGGUACCCGUAGAAGAAGCCCCGGCUAACUUCGUGCCAGCAGCCGCGGUAAUACGAAGGGGGCUAGCGUUGCUCGGAAUGACUGGGCGUAAAGGGCGUGUAGGCGGUUUACACAGUCAGAUGUGAAAUCCCCGGGCUUAACCUGGGAGCUGCAUUUGAUACGUGUAGACUAGAGUGUGAGAGAGGGUUGUGGAAUUCCCAGUGUAGAGGUGAAAUUCGUAGAUAUUGGGAAGAACACCGGUGGCGAAGGCGGCAACCUGGCUCAUGACUGACGCUGAGGCGCGAAAGCGUGGGGAGCAAACAGGAUUAGAUACCCUGGUAGUCCACGCCUGUAAACGAUGUGUGCUAGAUGUUGGGUAAC